AUAUCUGGGCAAACGCUGUAUACAAGUUAUAUAGAGGAAAGUCCAUGCUCGCACUGUCCAACUUGGAUAGUAGUGUUCGUGUAUAAGGAAAAAAUAACUUAUAGUAGUUUUUAACUAACGGCAUCGAAUUAACCUAAAGAUUAAUCCAUGGUUAUAUUAGAUAUAAAGUGCCAUAG
rnacentral:RNase_P_RNA from 1 species